GGGGUUAGAUCUCAGUGAUAGAGCACAUGCUUAGCAUGCACGAGGUCCUGGGUUCAAUCCCCAGUACCUCCA
rnacentral:tRNA from 1 species